UCCUACGGGAGGCAGCAGUGGGGAAUUUUGGACAAUGGGCGAAAGCCUGAUCCAGCCAUGCCGCGUGAGUGAAGAAGGCCUUCGGGUUGUAAAGCUCUUUUAGUCGGAAAGAAAGAGUUGCGGAUGAAUAACUUGUAAUUUAUGACGGUACCGACAGAAAAAGCACCAGGCUAACUACGUGCCAGCAGCCGCGGUAAUA
rnacentral:rRNA from 1 species